rnacentral:tRNA from 1 species
GGUCCCGUAGCUCAGUUGGAUAGAGCAACAGACUUCUAAUCUGUAGGUCGUGGGUUCGAAUCCCGCCGGGAUCACCA